rnacentral:rRNA from 1 species
GAUGAACGCUGGCGGCAUGCCUAAUACAUGCAAGUCGAACGAAAGCACGGGAAGAUUUCGCCCCUGAGGGUAGCGGGGGGCGGACGGGUGACGAAUGGAUAACCUACCUCUAAGACGGGGAUAACAACGGGGAAACGGAGCUAAUAACAGCGAAUAUGUUGAACCGGAGAGUGCACAAGUUAAAGACGGUCUGCGCGACACUAAGAGCUGAAUCCGUGCUGCAUUGGCUGGUUGGUAAGGGAACGGCUAACCCAGGCAACGAUGCGUAGCCGAUCUGAGAGGGUGAUCAGCCACACUGGAACUGAGACACGGUCCAGACUCCUACGGGAGGCAGCAGUGGGGAAUCUUGCGCAAUGGGCGCAAGCCUGAUGGAGCAAUGCCGCGUGAGUGAUGAAGGUCUUCGGGUCGUAAAGCUCUGUUGUUAGGAAAGAAAAUCUGCGUGUUUAUCCGCGGCUAUUUUGACGGUACCUAAACAAUAAGCCCCGGCUAACUUCGUG